AACGAACGCUGGCGGCAUGCCUAACACAUGCAAGUCGAACGAGACCUUCGGGUCUAGUGGCGCACGGGUGCGUAACGCGUGGGAACCUGCCCUUAGGUUCGGAAUAACUCCCCGAAAGGGGUGCUAAUACCGGAUAAUGUCUUCGGACCAAAGAUUUAUCGCCUUUGGAUGGGCCCGCGUUGGAUUAGCUAGUUGGUAGGGUAAAAGCCUACCAAGGCGACGACCCAUAGCUGGUCUGAGAGGAUGAUCAGCCACACUGGGACUGAGACACGGCCCAGACUCCUACGGGAGGCAGCAGUGGGGAAUAUUGGACAAUGGGCGAAAGCCUGAUCCAGCAAUGCCGCGUGAGUGAUGAAGGCCUUAGGGUUGUAAAGCUCUUUUACCCGGGAUGAUAAUGACAGUACCGGGAGAAUAAGCACCGGCUAACUCCGUG
rnacentral:rRNA from 1 species